ACUUUGUGGCUUUAAUAACUAGUGAAGACCCGCUUCCCUUUCCACUGAAUCGCCCGCAUUGGCUGAGCCGAAAACAAAGUGUGGGAAUACGUCUCCCAUUGGCUAAAUUACUGUGUGCAGUAGUGUUAGCGCAAAUAUUUAGACGGAGAUCCAAUUACUACAAUGUGAUAUAGGUAAAUAUAUUAUGAGUAGAACAUUUGAUGCUGAAUUCCUUUCGUAAAUAAAUAUGCUGUUGUUAUUUUCAGCAACAAGUACGCAAACAGACGUCGAUGGCUGGUAGGCGUGGUGGUGUCUGCCAAUUUUGACGCGAAAGGCAUGUUUUUGUGCGAUAACUCGAUUGGAGAAGUUUGCUUUUUACUCUCUCGUUGGCAGUCACGAACAUUAGUUAGUUAGCGGAAAUUGAAAAUGAAAUGUCUACUAAACUUGCAUCUAAAAUGGGUAUAACCUCUGCAAGAGUUUUACGCCAAGCAGAUGAGUACGUGCGGUUAUCCCUGGUUAAAUGUACAGGACUCGGAAUUACGACGGGUACAAGUAAAGCAGUAAUUUGCCUAGAACUGGUAGCAACAUCAAUGAAGUUUCCUCUGGACAAAGAAUAUGACUUCAAAUUAUCCGGGUUGAACAAGAAGCAGUAUCAAAGCAAUCUGAAGGCCUGAGAUUGAAUGCAUGCUUGGCCUCGAAUCUCACCUAGGAGUCGGAGACCUUACUGUUCAGUUUGGGUGCAUGGAUGCAAUCAAAGUAGCCACCCAGAACGGUAUGAAGCAAGCCUUCCUGCUGCUCAGUAAAAAGAUGUGGACCUGUCAAAACCACUCUUCACUACAGCUGCUUUGAACGCUGCAUGCGAAUGCUUGAAGAUCAAAGUGGAUAGGAAGCUGUUAGCAUCAUCUGGUGCUAAAAAGGGAAUCUUUGACAGGCUGUGCACCCAGUUCCAGAAACUGGGACAGGACAUCUGCAGUAAGUCUGCUGUUAAAUUAUAAAGGGGUUUGACUAACAUAUGGUGGGAAAUGGGUGAAAGCCCAGGGAGGGCCUUUGGAUUUAAAAAUGUACUUCCAAGCAAUAACGUUCUGUUGACUAACAAUACCUUUUUUUGUGACAUACGCUUCCGAAAGCUGGGGUUUGAAAUAUUGUGGCCUUUUUCAUAGUGGCUAUUUGUACUUUUGCCCCUGGUGUGUGGGUUUUUACUUUCCUGGGUGAAAAGAGAAUCUAGGUCAUUCCUCUCUCUCAUUGUUGUCGUGGUUACCGCCUGGUGGGAGAGAGUGGAUGUUCUAUUUUAGGACUGAAAACUUCAGUGAGUUGGUCUCCCAAUCAGGGAUGUCCGGAUCGCGGCAUACAACAUGCCUAUUACAAUCAAUCUCAGAAUGUCGUAGCUAUGAUCUUUAAGUAUCUCUUGAUAUUUCUUUUCCCCAAUGGAAGAAGCCACUCCACUGAAGAAUCUAGUUAAAAUGGCACAGAAAAGACGAACACUCAUAGAAAAUAUAGAACAAAGAGGAAGGUAAGUGUGACCAAAUAAUAACCAUACCAAAUUCCUGAUUAUGUCCUUAGAAAAGUGUAACUCUUAAUCUUUGCUGUAUUGCGGGGUUAAAACGGUGUUGGGGGGGGGGGAUAUUUUGUGCUGUCUAUCAAGGCCGACGUCUCAAAAGCAGCAGAAAGAGGACUCUGAGGAGUGCGCUACACAGGAUUACGAAGAGUGGAAGCCGAAGAAUCUUUGGAAAAUGCACUUAAAGCCAAUACAUAAAAGUUAAUUUGAUAGUCAGCUCAGCCAUAAAGUGGAAAUGUUUUCACAACCUUGGGCUUGUGAUCAGUGAAAAUGCUGUCUACAGUGCUGAGUAGUGAGGCUGGAGCUCUUGUUUUCUUUGCAUGUGAACUCUAAUGAGCAGGUACUCGUCUAGUAAUGAAGCACAUAUGCGCUUACUUCAGCUUUUGGAGAAAGUUACCUGACAGGUGUUUUUAUUAGUUACAUUUUUUUUUUUUUUAUCAUUGUUUAUUGUUUCAACCAUGCUUGUUUUAUGCUAUAAGCCUUACCCUUGUAAGCAAGCAUGAUGUGUUUGUAUUCCAUACAGUACUUUGCCUUUUCUGCCCCUCAGUGGCAGUGUAUGAGACUUACUUUAAGAUAAUUCUGCUGUGCUGUUGCUGGUCAAUGUGUUGGAUUUGUACAGUUAAGAUUAACAUUCUGUGGCGUUCACAAUUUAUGGUGGACGAUAGACAGUCUUACCAGUUGGCAUUAGCAACUGUUUUUAUUUAGACAGACCACAGUAUGAGUUGGAAAUGGUUCUAAGUUUUUUUUCACCAUUCAUUUUUCCAUCUGGGAUUUUAGAACUACUUCCUAAGUUUUGAUAACCACACAUCUCUCUCAUCAAUAAUUAGCAUUGCGAAAGGGUAAAUUGCAGCGACUAUAUUGAUGACUACCCUCAGAGGAUUACACAGCUAUCAAAACGUCUCGCCAAUGUAAGCCUAUAUCUAACACACAAUUGAAUUAGAAUUGUCAUUCAAGUGGCGCAGUGGUCUAAAGCACUGCAUCUCAGUGCUAGAGCUGUCACUACAGACCCUGGUUUGAUUUCAGGCUGUAUCACAACCGUCCGUGAUUGGGAGUCCCAUAGGGCGGUGCAUAAUUGGCAAGGCAUCAUCCGGGUUAGGGUUUGGCCGUCAAUGGAAAUAAGAAUUUGUUCUUAACUGACCAGCCUAGUUACAUUUUAAACAUUCACAAUGUGAAAAAUGAAUGGUGGAAAAACCAUUGGAAGCAUUUGUGUUUAUGGGUGUUUAUGGUGAUUCCACUGUGCCAUACUAUUGACAAUAGUAUAAGUCUGGCCAUUUGUGGCUUCACUUAUUUUAAUGAAUUAACAUUUCUAGUCAUUGAGUUAUUCUUGGUGAGUUCAAGUGGAGGUGGGGACACUGUCACAAAAUAAUGCUAUAUGGGAACACUACUGUCAGUCAGGUUGGGUAGCAUGCAAGCAAGUAGCCCAUUCAAAGCCUUCAUAGAAGGAAAGAUUGACAAGACAAGGUCGUCUGUGUGAUUUGUAAAGAUUCACUUACCAUAUUAAAUAAACCAAAAAUGAAA